ensembl:snoRNA
CCAGGCUGUGAUGAUAAACUUGCCCUCACUGAGUAUUGAUCUGACUGAGUUUUUGUUUACUGAGCCUUA